rnacentral:lncRNA from 1 species
CUCCGAUACCCGGUCAGCCGGUCAGCCCUGCGGGGACUCUGGCGGGCUGGGAGGUGCCGCCCUCCCGUACGAAACUUCCUGUCGGCCAUGUUGUCGCCCGCGGCAUGCUGGGAUAUGUAGUACUCCGGUACCCGGACAGCCGGUCAGCGCUGCGAGGACUCUGGCGGGCUGGGAGGUGCCGCCCUCCCGUACGGGACUUCCGGUCGGCCAUGUUGGCCAGGCGGCGCGCGGGGGGGGUGCGGUCGGCUGGUGCCGGACCCCGUGCCGGCCAUGUUGGGCCCCUCGGCGUGCUGUGGCGCGUCGUCUGUGGGAGGCCUCCAAGCGGCCGUUCUGGGCCGCGGGUGUGCUGCGGGCCGCAGCCCCCCCGCCUUGCGUGGCAGCAGCCCCUGGGAGCGGUUGGAUGGCGGGGCUGGGCAGGAGCUGCUGAGAAGGCCCUACCAGUGGCUCGUGAAGAAGACAUCUUUGACUACAUCCACUGGAAGCACCUAGAGCCAAAGGACUGGACUUCCUUGCCUGAGGAGAAGGGAGAGGAAUCACUUCGCACCGUGUCAGCCUGUUGGAUAUGCUGGUGUGUAUCAUUCAGAGUAAAGGAAACACUUUUCUGA